CCACCGGGCCGGGCCGGCCGCCCCCCUCAGUACUGCCAGAAGCAAAGUUUCACUCCGGGACCUCCGGGCUGCGGUCCCGGCGCUAUAGACACAACUCCCCCAUUUCCAGCCACUGCAGGGAGGAGGGUGACGGCCGCCAGACUAAGCGGCCCCCUCGCCCGCAGAGGCUGCAGCCGGAGCUCUGAGCGGCUAAGCGGGCAGUAAGCAGCUCUACUGGGACUAGGGACGAGGAGCCCCAGAGUGGGACAUGGCAGGAUGGCGGCCAGAGAAAGGGGCAGGAGGAGCCGCGGGGUGGAAGCGCCGCUCCUUCUCUACUUCCCGCCUGCCGGGGAAGUUUCGCCUCCCUGCAGGGAGAAGCGCUGCGAACCUCCGCUAGGGAGCUGAACUACCUGCUGGCUAGCACUCGUCAGAUGGUGUUGGAAGAGGUGGAGACUCCGGCCUGCAUGGGAACUCCACAUUUGUAAGUCGAACAUAGCCUUUUUGUUUUGGGGGAAAAAAACCACACUUUGCACAUGCUUUCAGUUGGGAAAAGGUUUUAUUUAAUUUUCAAA
rnacentral:lncRNA from 14 species